rnacentral:rRNA from 1 species
CCGCGGGGGGAGUACGGUCGCAAGAUUAAAWCUCAAAGGAAUUGRCGGGGACCCCCACAAGCGGUGCAUGAUGUGGAUUAAUUMGAUGCAACGMGAAAAWCCUUACCUACCCUUGUCAUGUSUGGAAACCCGAAGAGAUUUGUCCGUKCUCGCAAGAGARCCGCACACAGGUAUGGCAUGGCUGUCGUCAGGUCGUGUGGUGAGAGGUUGGGUUAAGUCCCGCACCGAGCCCAUCCCUUGUCAUUAGUUCAUUCACAAGAGCACUCUAAUGAGACUGCCGGUGACAAACCGGAGGAAGGUGGGGAUGACGUCAAGUCCUCAUGCCCCUUAUGGGUAGGGCUUCACACGUCAUACAAUGGUCGGGACAGAGGGUCGCCAGCCCGCGAGGGGAGCCAAUCUCAGAAAACCGAUCGUAGUUCGGAUCGCAGUCUGCAACUCGCCUGCCUGAAGUCGGAAUCGGUUAAGUAUUCCCGGGA